rnacentral:misc_RNA from 1 species
GAUGAAGAACGCAGCGAAAUGCGAUAAGUAAUGUGAAUUGCAGAAUUCAGUGAAUCAUCGAAUCUUUGAACGCACAUUGCGCCCGCCAGUAUUCUGGCGGGCAUGCCUGUCUGAGCGUCAUUUCAACCCUCAUGCCCCUAGGGCGUGGUGUUGGGGAUCGGCCAAAGCCCGCGAGGGACGGCCGGCCCCUAAAUCUAGUGGCGGACCCGUCGUGGCCUCCUCUGCGAAGUAGUGAUAUUCCGCAUCGGAAAGCGACGAGCCCCUGCCGUUAAACCCCCAACUUUCCAAGGUUGACCUCAGAUCAGGUAGGAAUACCCGCUGAACUUAAGCAUAUCAAUAAGCGGAGGA